rnacentral:rRNA from 1 species
UACGAAGGGGGCUAGCGUUGCUCGGAAUCACUGGGCGUAAAGCGCACGUAGGCGGAUCUUUAAGUCAGGGGUGAAAUCCCGAGGCUCAACCUCGGAACUGCCUUUGAUACUGCAAAUCUCGAGUCCGAUAGAGGUGGGUGGAAUUCCUAGUGUAGAGGUGAAAUUCGUAGAUAUUAGGAAGAACACCGGUGGCGAAGGCGGCCCACUGGAUCGGUACUGACGCUGAGGUGCGAAAGCGUGGGGAGCAAACAGG